GUAACUAUUGCUGUAGUAGUUAUCUGUUAACUGUCAUACCUUAGGGUUACAACGGUAAAGCAUUAAUUUUACAGUUUACUUUUUGAUGAGAAACUACAGAUUAGACAUCUUGGUGCCCACCUGCAGCGGAAUAUUGUCAUAAACCAAACCCCUGGUAGAAAUAAUCAGAAUUAACGUGGAGUGUUUUUCGGGAACAAAAUGGCUAACUGCUAGCUUGUUAGCGAAGAUGGUUUUUGCUUCCCUGGGUUUUAUUCGGUGAGGAUGGUAGUUUACCUGGUCAAGAGAACAGGCAUUUAGAAUCUCAAGCAUCUUUCUGAGAGGAUUACCAAACAUGAAAGCAGCAAAACUGGACUUUUCUUCGGCUAACAUAACAUUAGCUACCCAGAUUGACACCAGUCAAACGGGGAUUUAGCGGCACAGCAGCUCCUUGAGGAGAACGGGUCAAACCGAGGGUGAAGAAAUCAUCACCUGUUGCUGCCCAGGUGCACUCUGACUUGUCUUUGGUGACCAUUUUGCCUUUAAUGGGCUGUGCAGGGGCAGAUUUGGCUUGGCGGCCCACUUUCAGCCCUGGCUUGUCCUUGUGUUGUCCUCUGUCCACGCCUCUUCCCCUCCGUCCAUGGCUCUUCUGGCAGCUGCUCAACACCAGCUGAUGGGAAAUACAAGCGAGGACCAGCAGGAUGGUGGCAUUGACCCUUCCUUUGGAUUACACAACCUGUGAGCUCUGUUCAUCUGGAGGAUCCUACAAGACUUUGCAUUUACUGCAGAGGAAAUAAAUCUAAGCGAACAUGACAGGUAGUGUUGGGGAAGACAGGGAAUGCCAAGUCCCGGCUUGUUCUUACACACUCUUUGCCUUGGCAGGAAUGCUUUUGGAUAAUAGAGCUUCAGUGAUCCUCAACAGAACCCAGUGUACUGUGUCAUGUCGCAGCUCCUAUUAGGUGAAGCAUGGCUGCCUGCUGUAUGUUAACUGACAGCCAAGGAGGAGGCUGUUUAACUGACCCUCAGGAACCAAGCUAUUUCUGGUUAUGUACCAUUUAAGUACAAAUAUAAUACAAAAACACUGAUAUAUAUAGAACAAUAUAUUGUCAAUAUUUACACUGAUGUUUCACAAACUGGUCUUAUACGUAUAAACUGAUGUAAUUUUUGUUUGUCGCCUGCU